AUAUGUAUUUUUUUCCCCAUACCUGCCUCUUCCAAUCCCCUAUCCCUUAUUUUCCUUCUCUUCCUCAUGAUGGUUUUGCAAAAUGCUGCAUUUGACAACCCUUCUCAAAAUUCCAUAAGGAAAGAGGUGGGUAUCAUGUUGAAAGACACUGGCACACAGGGAAUCUGUCCUUCGGUGGAGGUGACAUAGCCAGAGAAUCUCUAAAGAGAGGAAAUUCCUGUAGGAAUGCCCAUUCCACAAGUGAGGUAAAGGAAGAAUCUCCUAAAAACUAAGCUGAGUUACAGAGACAACAUCCCUGGCCACGAGAACCUUUGCUGGGAUCUAUAACUUCAAUGCGCUCCAAGUUUCCUCGAUAGAAGUUUCUGGCUGACGGUCCCAACAUGUAACUGAGGCACAGUGAGAAGUUAUUGUUCGGAGUUUGUACUCGGGAAGCUCUUACAGAGCAGAUCAAAAUCUUUCUUUGGUGUAUUAAAAGAUACACUUCACAUCUGCCUCUUUUCAAAAUGGCAAAGAUUCUUACUUUGGAGUCUCAAGGGGAAAAAGAUUUAAAAAA